rnacentral:misc_RNA from 1 species
UUAACGAUUAUAUAUGAUGCUCAGACAAUACAAAAUCAAGAAUUUGGGGUGUCCUCUGGCAGGCACUGACCAGCUGAAGCCGGUGGUCAAUGACGGGCCUGCCAAGGCAACAAAGGUAGAGUAGACAAAGGGUGGGAGAUCUACCCAAAGGGCAGGUUCUCUGUAAUGAUCCUUCCGCAGGUUCACCUACGGAAA